rnacentral:lncRNA from 13 species
CUUGAAUGUGUGUGACUGAUAACGGGACAAAUUUCUACCUUCGUUAUUACAUUUCAGCUACAUAAUUCAUUUGCCAAAAUCUUUUAGGAAAUAUCUUUAUAACACAUUGCAAGAGGCAUCAGUCAUCAUCUUUAAUGAGAGCAGAUUCACAGCUGGAAAAGCCUGAGAGAAAAGUUUCCUGAACCUCUGGAGGAAGAUGGGAAAGCAGCAGCAAACACAAAGAUUUUCUUUUUAGGUCAGGUGCUGCUGUGCUGCUUGAGCAUCCAGACCUACCCAGGGAAGUUUGUAAGGCUGCUUUAAAGACAUCUACAGGAGAUUCUGCUGUUGACAAAUUGGAAAGGACAGCUCAGGCAUUAAGAACAUAA